CGUGAUCCGCCCUUCGGGGUGGUGAAAGUGGCGCACGGGUGAGUAACGCGUGGAUAAUCUGCCCGAGGAUUUGGGAUAACAUCUCGAAAGGGGUGCUAAUACCGAAUAAGCCCACGGGGUCUACGGAUCUUGCGGGAAAAGGGGGGGACCUUCGGGCCUCCUGUCCUUGGAUGAGUCUGCGUACCAUUAGCUAGUUGGUGGGGUAAUGGCCUACCAAGGCGACGAUGGUUAGCUGGUCUGAGAGGAUGAUCAGCCACACUGGAACUGAGACACGGUCCAGACUCCUACGGGAGGCAGCAGUGGGGAAUUUUGCGCAAUGGGGGAAACCCUGAC
rnacentral:rRNA from 1 species